GAUGAACGCUGGCGGCGUGCCUAAUACAUGCAAGUCGAGCGAACGGACGAGAAGCUUGCUCCUCUGAUGUUAGCGGCGGACGGGUGAGUAACAUGUGGAUAACCUACCUAUAAGACUGGGAUAACUUCGGGAAACCGUAGCUAAUACCGGAUAAUAUUUUGAACCGCAUGGUUCAAAAGUGAAAGACGGUCUUGCUGUCACUUAUAGAUGGAUCCGCGCUGCAUUAGCUAGUUGGUAAGGUAACGGCUUACCAAGGCAACGAUGCGUAGCCGACCUGAGAGGGUGAUCGGCCACACUGGAACUGAGACACGGUCCAGACUCCUACGGGAGGCAGCAGUAGGGAAUCUUGCGCGAUGGGCGAAAGCCUGACGGAGCAACGCCGCGUGAGUGAUGAAGGUCUUCGGAUCGUAAAACUCUGUUAUUAGGGAAGAACAUAUGUGUAAGUAACUGUGCACAUCUUGACGGUACCUAAUCAGAAAGCCACGGCUAACUACGUG
rnacentral:rRNA from 1 species